UAAAGGCCCCCCUUAGUCCCGGUUGUAACAGCCAGAGUCCAAGCGUCGGUUGUGUUACGAACGGCGUAUGGAAUAUGAAGUAAAGAAUCAAACCACAAUAGGAGACACACGAUUUACGUGGAAAACCCCUUCAAUGUGAAAGGGAAAAACCACGGGCACCAGCCGGCAACAAUCUCACUAUAUCAAGAGUUUAGGGCUACACGCCUAUGGCGGCUUACAAGAGAAUCUGAUAAUCUCUCUCUCUUCUAUCUCUUCUGUCGUGCGAAACCCUAGCAAGGGUGUAUGUAUAUAUAGUACCGAAAACCCUAGACAGGGGGUAUUGAGCUGUACGGACUCUUGGUCCCGUACAAGGAUGGAACUCCUCCUCGUCCGACCUUGAGUCCUUCGUCCUGGAGUCGGAUGCGCCUGGGACUCCGCCUCGCCCGACCUCAAGCCUGGGGUCGGAUGCGCCUGACCCCUUGAGGGUCGAUCUCCGACUCGCCCGACUCGCCCGACCCCAAAGUCCAGGGGUCGGGGAACGCUCCGCCUCGCCCGACCCCGAGUGUUGGGGUCGGGAUAUUCACCGCCUCGCCCGACCCUGAGUGAUAAGGGUCGGGAAGGUCGGCCAUUAUCCUGGAGUGAAUUUGGAACAACUCCAACA
rnacentral:lncRNA from 1 species